rnacentral:rRNA from 1 species
UGACCAAGCCGACGAUCUCUAGCUGGUCUGAGAGGAUGACCAGCCACACUGGAACUGAGACACGGUCCAGACUCCUACGGGAGGCAGCAGUGAGGAAUCUUCCACAAUGGGCGAAAGCCUGAUGGAGCAACGCCGCGUGAAGGAUGAAGGCCUUCGGGUUGUAAACUUCUUUUAUGAGUGAAGAAUAUGACGGUAACUCAUGAAUAAGCACCGGCUAACUACGUGCCAGCAGCCGCGGUCAUACGUAGGGUGCGAGCAUUAUCCGGAGUGACUGGGCGUAAAGAGUUGCGUAGGCGGUUUAAUAAGUGAAUAGUGAAACCUGGUGGCUCAACCAUACAGACUAUUAUUCAAACUGUUAAACUCGAGAAUGGUAGAGGUAACUGGAAUUUCUUGUGUAGGAGUGAAAUCCGUAGAUAUAAGAAGGAACACCAAUGGCGUAGGCAGGUUACUGGGCCAUUUCUGACGCUAAGGCACGAAAGCGUGGGGAGCGAACCGGAUUAGAUACCCGGGUAGUCCACGCCGUAAACGAUGGAUACUAGCUGUUGGAGGUAUCGACCCCUUCAGUAGCGAAGCUAACGCGUUAAGUAUCCCGCCUGUGGAGUACGGCCGCAAGGCUAAAACAUAAAGGAAUUGACGGGGACCCGCACAAGCGGUGGAUUAUGUUCUUUAAUUCGAUGAUAACCGAAGAACCUUACCAGGGCUUGACAUCCAGGGAAGGUCUGCGAAAGUAGACUGUGCCUUUUGGAACCCUGUGACAGGUGAUGCAUGGCCGUCGUCAGCUCGUGUCGUGAGAUGUUAGGUUAAGUCCUUCAACGAGCGCAACCCUUGCAAGUAGUUGUAUUUUUCUACUUGGACUGCCCCGGUAACGGGGAGGAAGGAGGGGAUGAUGUCAGGUCAGUAUUUCCCUUACGUCCUGGGCUAGAAACGUAAUACAAUGGCUAGUACAAUGCGCAGCGAAGCCGCGAGGUGAAGCAAAUCGCAUCAAAGCUAGUCCCAGUUCGGAUUGCAGGCUGAAACUCGCCUGCAUGAAGUCGGAAUCGCUAGUAAUCGCAAAUCAGCAAGUUGCGGUGAAUACGUUCCCGGGUCUUGUACACACCGCCCGUCAAACCAUGAAAGUGACCAACACCCGAAGUCCGAUUCGUCGGCCUAAGGUGGGGGGCAUGAUUGGGGUUAAGUCGUAACAAGGUAUCCGUACCGGAAGGUGCGGAUG